UUUGAAGAGAGAGUUCAAGAGUACGUGAAACUGCUGAGAGGCAAACUGGUGGGCCCUCGAAAUCCCGUUUGCGGGGAGAUUCAGUCGGGUGUCGGCGGCCGUCUCUAAAAUGGGUCUGUCGCAACCGAAGAUCGGGGCACAUUCCGAGGGACGAGUUCCGCUGGAACCCGACGCAUUUCCCGCCCGCACGAAAGGAACGCCGCAGCCGGUCGGGUAGCUGCGCGUGUCGGCCAUGAGGACGUUGCAACGGCAGGUGACCGGCGGCCCUAGGCUUCUUCUCCGGAGGCACUAACGGUCGACGGUUGAUUAGCCGGCUCGUCCGUGGCGCGACACCCGACCGAGGUAAAGAGAGAGACAGAGACGGGGAUACGUCUCCACGGAGACGUCCCCGUCUGCAAUCCACUACUUUCAAACGAGAGAGCGAGCCGUCGGACAGGCGCGUUCCUGCGUGGUCGGACAGUCACCGCACUGGUCGAUCUGGUGGGAGCGCGUCGAUCGUACCGAGUCAGGAUCUCGCGGAGGAUGAAGGCUGGCGGCGAGUAGGUCGGUAACCCACCCGACCCGUCUUGAAACACGGACCAAGGAGUCUAACAUGUGCGCAAGUCGCGGGGUCUUGUUCAGGCCCAAAGGCGAAAUGAAAGUGAAGGCCGCCGCUUCCCCUUAUUCAGUUAGGGGCGGAGUGAGGCGGCCAGGUCGGGACUCGCACGUGACACGGGACGUGACGAAGCACCGACGACCCGCCCUGUUCUAUCUUCUCGAUAGGAACUCAAACGGAGUUUGAGCGCACACGUUGGGACCCGAAAGAUGGUGAACUAUGCCUGGGCAGGACGAAGCCAGAGGAAACUCUGGUGGAGGUCCGCAGCGGUUCU
rnacentral:rRNA from 1 species